rnacentral:rRNA from 1 species
CGGAACUAGAGAAGCUUGCUUUCUCGGCGUCGAGCGGCGGACGGGUGAGUAAAGCCUGGGAAAUUGCCCUGAUGUGGGGGAUAACCAUUGGAAACGAUGGCUAAUACCGCAUAUUGUCUACGGACUAAAGAGGGGGACCUUCGGGCCUCUCGCGUCAGGAUAUGCCCAGGUGGGAUUAGCUAGUUGGUGAGGUAAAGGCUCACCAAGGCGACGAUCCCUAGCUGGUCUGAGAGGAUGAUCAGCCACACUGGAACUGAGACACGGUCCAGACUCCUACGGGAGGCAGCAGUGGGGAAUCUUGCACAAUGGGCGCAAGCCUGAUGCAGCCAUGCCGCGUGUAUGAAGAAGGCCUUCGGGUUGUAAAGUACUUUCAGUAGUGAGGAAGGGUGCGUAUUUAAUAGAUGCGUAUUUGGACGUUAGCUACAGAAGAAGCACCGGCUAACUCCGUGCCAGCAGCCGCGGUAAUACGGAGGGUGCGAGCGUUAAUCGGAAUUACUGGGCGUAAAGCGCAUGCAGGUGGUCUGUUAAGUCAGAUGUGAAAGCCCGGGGCUUAACCCCGGAGUUGCAUUAGAAACUGGCAGGCUAGAGUACUGUAGAGGGGGGUAGAAUUUCAGGUGUAGCGGUGAAAUGCGUAGAGAUCUGAAGGAAUACCGGUGGCGAAGGCGGCCCCCUGGACAGAUACUGACACUCAGAUGCGAAAGCGUGGGUAGCAAACAGGAUUAGAUACCCUGGUAGUCCACGCCGUAAACGAUGUCUACUUGGAGGUUGUGACUUUAAGUCGUGGCUUUUCGGAGCAAAACGCGUUAAGUAGACCGGCCUGGGGGAGUACGGGUCGCAAAAAUUAAAAACUCAAGAUGAAAUUGACGGGGGGCCCCGCACAAACCGGUGGAAGCAUGGUGG